GGGGCCCUGGCCGCCCCAGCCGCGCCCGGGGCGGUGCCCGGUGCCCGCGCCUUGUUUACGGGCGCUGCGGCCCCUCUCCUGGCGGGCACCGAGCCUUUCCGGGCGGAGGCGGAGGCCGUGGGCUCUUUCCGGGGCGUCAUCGGCGCCAUCCACCCGUCAGGUCCCGGGAAGUCAGGAGAGCACACACUGGCAUGUAUGACAUCUUGGAUUUGAUCCCCAGCACUGCCAAAAAUACAAUAAAACAACACAUAGAGGCUGUGUAGCACUGAUACUGUCCAUACUGUCUCAAUUGGAACUGAGCUGAGGCGCUUCAGCCCCCGUGGGGCAGUAUCCGUUCAUCUGUCCGAGGGCUCCACAUGUCUGUCCAGUGUUCUAAAGAGCAGUUAUCCAUCCAGAUAAGUAUUGCCCUUUGUGCCUUGUUUUGACGCGUAAAAUGAAAUGUCACUAACUAAAGUCCCGUAAGGAAACACGGGUUAGUGAGGUUCGCUAGGAAGUAAACAAAGCAACAACUUGUGAAACGUAAGCAGAUGCCUCUCACUGCUGUUUCCCGCCCUGCCGCCUCUGCUGAGUGCAGAUUUCAGUUCAGAUAAACACGUUCUAAGAACUGGGGCUGAGGUAAACACCAGCCUUCUUGCUAGUGCUCGCGAGCUCUUUAUUAAAGCUUUCCAUACCAGCCUAGCAUCUUCCUGUUGAAAGAGAAAAAAUAAGAAUCACAUAGUAAAAAUACCUUAAAAUUAUAUUUUACACUGUAAGAACCCCUUUAAGAUAGUAAAAAUAAACAUUAAAAAGCCAUACCCACUGCUAUUAAAAAUGAAAAUAGAAAAUGAGCUAUAUUGAUGUUCUGUUGCUGGAUAUUUUUCUGUUUUUGAGUAAAGGUGUGCCUAAUUUUAAAACUCCUCCCACUAAAACUACAAUACAGUUUCAAACCUCACAAUGUAAAUGUCAGAGAAAAUUAAACCACAGAUCAGCAUCUAUAUCUUUCUCAGUGCAAAAUAUAAAACCCAGCACACAUUACUAAACAUGUGUUCAGGAUUUAUUAAGCCUCAUAUUUUAGGAAUUAUCCAAAAUGUCAGUCUUUCCCAUUAGCUUUCUAUCUAAAUAGGGCACCAUUAAAUAUCCUUGCAUGUUUGACCUCUUUCACGUUUACCUUCGGUUACAGCAUUUUACACAUAAUUUGAAAACAAAACCUUGUAGUACGUAUUAUAACCAUCAUCUGGCGUUUUUCUGGGCUGUCUUACUGCCUAAUUUCAAUUCUCUGUGUUGCUGUGUACAAGCCCAUUUCCUAGUGGCACAUGGUCCAGAGAGUCCUGCUCAUCUUUGAACCCAGGAAGUUCCGCCAAGUCUCAAAUAUUACAUCAGAUUGCAGAUUCGGGAAGAUUCCAGGAAAAGGUGAUAUGAAGACAUCAUAGAAAACAAGCAUUGAGCUCUGUCUUCAUACUGGAGACUACUGUUUUUCAAUGACAUUUACAUUUACACUUAGAAGAAAGAAAAGGGGUCAGGCCAAGUAAGGUAAACUAAGACAACUUUUAAAACGUGUCUGGUUGUGAACGUCAUUAUUUCUGUGGAUUGAUGUUAAACGUUAACCUUGAAACUGAAGGCGGUGAGCCCAAGCAUUUCCAGUCUUCAGCUCAACUCAGGCAGUGAUGCCCCUUGCCUGCGAUCCCUGAAGCACCACCUCCUUAGAGUCACAGCUCUGUCUAUUGAGAGCCUUGCAUCCCAGCCAUUCACUUCCAAAUGUUUCUUGAAUAUAAUUGAAGGAUCUGCUAAGUUGAUAAACAAAGUUUGCUCCUCCUUCCUUUGUAAAUGGUGUUUGCAAUCUCUAGUGCUGUCCUGGGAGGAGAAAACCCUUUCUGAUGUACCCAGGUUUGCUAGCUAGGUCUGCCUUCUGAGUCACAUGACCCAGUGACAAGUCCGCAUAGACCCAGUGGCUGCUUAAUUCUGUCUGUUCAUCAGCAAGCUUCGAUCAUGAGCCCUGACCAGGAACUGGCUUAGUCUUGUGAACAGAGGUCCACAUGAGCUUCUGGGGGGCAGCAUCCACCCCAGUCUCUCUGUCUCCUUCUUCUCUUGUGGGUGAGCCAGUGUGCUCAGGCCAGGACUCCCACAAUCAGUCCAUUUCUAGGAUUGUGCUUACAGCAAACCACACUGUAAGGAUGAGGUCUUUCAUGAAAGAGAAAGAGUAGAGUCCCCAAGCUCAGUGUGCAGCUACCCUGCAGGUGGGGAGCCCAGCAGCCUCUGCAUGUCACCUGUGUUGAGGAGCCCAUGGCAGGUGGUGCUGCCUCUGCCCACGUUUGUGAACAAAGAGGCCAGCUCCAGGUACCACUAACAGGCUGGCUGAUCUAUUUGCUUGUAAGAAAAAUGAGAUGAAAUCCCAGACCCCAGCAAUGCCCUUAGGAAGCACAGGGUCCACUGGGAGGUAGAGAACUAUUUGUACAUAGCCAAAUCGAGAGGCCAGCUCUAAGUAUGGAAAGAAACCCAAUCACACAGGGCAGUGUGGUGUGUAGUAAAUCGGUGUUUCGUUGUGCGGAGGGCCAGGACACAAUGUGGGCUGGCAUCACGGAAAACAGAGGCAGGCACAUUAAAGCUUUACCUGUGUCUUGCACUACACUGCUUGGUGAACCAAAGAAUUAAAUAUUAAAACUUUAAACCAUAACAUUUAGGGGGAAAAAGAAAGAGAUAUUGAUGAAUUUGACUUUCUCAAACAGAAUUCACAAGCGGAAAGCAGUAAAAUCAAAAGUAAAGUAUAAGGGAGUGAUUAAAAGAUAUGGAGAGUGUUUAAAUUGUUUUUUAAAGUGUACUACAGUAAAGACACAUUGCCAAGAACAAUUGGAUGACUGUAAAGUGAGGUGGGUAUUUUUUUGUGUGUGUACUGGGUAUUAAACGCAGGACCUUGUGCUUGUGAGUCAGGCGCAGUGCCACUGAGCUACAUCCCCGGCCCAAGGCAGGUAUUUUGAGGGGAAUGAAUGACAAUGUGUCUUUUACUGUAAUACAUUUUUUAAAAAUUUAAAGUCACCAUGUAUUUUUAAUCACACCUCAGAUAAACUGCAAAGGACAAAGAAAUGGCAAGCAUAUCAUGGAUGAAGUACUACUUAGGUGUUUAUGUAGUAUCCUAAGGGCUCCUAUAAGAUAAUGAAGAGACCAAAAACACAUAACCAAAGAUGGAUGAUCUGAAUACAUAAUUCCCUACAAUGAAAAUAAAUGCAAAAACAAAAGCCUUAACCGUAGGAAAACUUGCUUGCCAUUUCCUGUCAUAAAAUAAAUGCACAUCAGAGCCACAGUGUGGCACAGUAUUCACCUAGCAGACGGGCUGAAACUGACCUCAGGACCCGGGAAGGGCCAAGCGAGGGACUGCAUCUGACCCGGACGGAUGCUCAGGGCCUGGACCCCGGAUGGAACAUCUUAGGGGUGACUUGUGCCCCCGUGACAGGGCGCUGGAAUAUGAGGUGCACAUGGGUUCCCGCCAGUCUCCUCAGAAGAGCAAAGUUUUCGAUUCACACUACCAGAGUGCUGUAAAAACAAAGAGUAUAAACGUGGGAGCCCGAGGGAAAUCUGCACGUGUGAGGUUCAUCGCAGCAGGAGUCAUUGGGAUUCCAGCCGUUCUCCGUCACUCAAGUACAGCAGACCUGCCUGCGCUCAGUGGCUUUUCUCCGUGGUGAGGAGACUGCCCCCAUGCACGGAAACAGUGUGGUCAGCAGUUUGGGUCUACUUUCCAAGGGCUAAAGAUACAUGGGGGAAAUGAGUCUCCUCUCCACUAAGAGCUUGCUUCCCGAACCCGUUUGACUGUGUGGAGAUAUCAGUAUUAAUUCGGAAAGAUUAUACCUAGCCAGGGGUUACCUUUCAACAUACAAAGCAAGAUUCUCCUGGUAAAAAUAUUUUCAGUUUACAAGACUAAUGAAUAAGACAUCUAUAUUUUAAGUCCAGUAUCUGUUGCCACCCUAGAUUCUACUUAUUUUUCUUUGUGAUUUUACUAAAGACGUAUAUAAACAUUUCUGCAUUGUACUUAUACUUAAGCAUAAUAUAAACAUUAUCAUACUACUUGUAUUCUUUUACAGCUUGCCUUUUUGACUUAACAUUUUUUUAAAUCCAGAUAUAAUUCAUAUAAUUCAGUUGUUUUCAGUACAUUCACAAAGUUGUGAAAUCAUCACUAAUGUCUAAAUCUGGAACUUUUUUGUCACCCCAAAAAGACACUUCCAGAACCCUUUUCAGAAUUUCCCUCCCCAGUUUCUGCCAGCCACAGCUUUCUGCCUGUGUCCCAUGAUUUGGAGAAAUAUCUAUUUUCACUCACCUAGCUAUAGUUCAUUCAUUUUAACUGUAAUACAUGUAUAAAGAUUUUCACAUCUGUGAAUGGAAAUAUGUUAUAGUUGUUUAUAUUUAAAUUUUAAUAUUAGUAUUUUGAAAAGCACAUUUAAACAUUUAAAAUUUCUUUUAGCAAAU
ensembl:lncRNA